CUUGAUACCUCUACUACCGGCCGGUACAGGCUCGGUCGUUCGGUGUUCUUAUGCUUCUACUACCUGUUCCUUCUUGUUCCUGUACCGGUACUCCCCCCUAGGAACGUGAGACCGUUUCUUCGAGCGGAAGGCUGGAGUAGUCAGACGACCCUCGCGUAUUACCUAAGCUCCCUGCAAUAGGAGCAGGCGGUACUCUGAUGCUCUGGCUGUGACGACGACGGGUCAAGCUGAUGCCUCAGCUGCUGGGGAGGAUGAACGGUCUCGUUGGUCUACGACCUCAAGUCCUCGGUCUACGGUGGCAGCUGCUGCUGUGGAUGCUGUGACCUCCACGGAUGAUGAUACACGUCCGGCGACUGCUGCUGGUCCUCAUCAAUCCUCCAGGGUCCGUCCUCCGGAACGGAAAAGCUAGCAACGAUGAAAACACGAUCGGAAGAAUUCCGUUUGAACAAAUUGAAUACAGACAUGAGUCUAUAACAACGAAGGCGACUGAGCAGAUACUAGCUCGUAAACAUAAGCUCGGGAGCUCCGGGGACCGAACAUAAUACUACGAACAUACUGAAUAAAUACAACAUCUCAACCCAACACUAUAGAAGGGCACUCAGGGACUAGCACUAGCA
rnacentral:rRNA from 1 species